AGGUAUUUAUUUUAACUAAAAUAUUUGAUUUCGGCUCAGAAGCUUGCGGUUAAAGUCCGUAAUUACCUA
rnacentral:tRNA from 1 species